rnacentral:rRNA from 1 species
UACGUAGGGUGCGAGCGUUGUUCGGAAUGACUGGGCGUAAAGGGCUCGUAGGCGGCCAACUAAGUCAGACGUGAAAUCCCUCGGCUUAACCGGGGAACUGCGUCUGAUACUGGAUGGCUUGAGAUUGGGAGAGGGAUGCGGAAUUCCAGGUGUAGCGGUGAAAUGCGUAGAUAUCUGGAGGAACACCGGUGGCGAAGGCGGCAUCCUGGACCAACACUGACGCUGAGGAGCGAAAGCCAGGGGAGCAAACGGG